CACCCUCAUGACUUCAUCUAAACCUAAUACCUCCCAAAGGCCCUGCUGCCAAACACCAUUAACACGUGAAUUUGGUUCCAAGAUGUGAAGAGGUGAAGAGGCCUAUGUUUUCCUCAUGUUCCAUCAAACACGAUGUGAUGAAGACUCUUGCAGAAGUGUCCUAGCAGAUUCCCUCUCUGGGUUGCUUCACAUGUCUCUUAUAGCCUGGCACCCGAGGACCUUCUCUGAAACUUCUUUUGUAUGCCUCUGCCCCUGAGCAAGUGGAAUGGAUAUCCUGAAUAGAUCUUGGACUUAGUUAGGUGACAGAAUCCUGGGAUACGGAAGGCAUGGUUGACUCCCUUGGUGAGCCAGCAGCACUUGAGUGUGAAGAGGUGGGAAGGAA